GACGAACGCUGGCGGCGUGCUUAACACAUGCAAGUCGAACGCUGAAGCUCAGCUUUUGUUGGGUGGAUGAGUGGCGAACGGGUGAGUAACACGUGAGUAACCUGCCUCCUUCUUUGGGAUAACGCCCGGAAACGGGUGCUAAUACUGGAUAUUCACUGGUCUUCGCAUGGGGGUUGGUGGAAAGGGUUUUUCUGGUGGGGAUGGGCUUGCGGCCCAUCAGCUUGUUGGUGGGGUGAUGGCCUACCAAGGCUUUUGCGGGUAGCCGGCCUGAGAGGGUGACCGGUCACAUUGGGACUGAGAUACGGCCCAGACUCCUACGGGAGGCAGAAGUGGGGAAUAUUGCACAAUGGGCGCAAGCCUGAUGCAGCGACGCCGCGUGAGGGAUGGAGGCCUUCGGGUUGUGAACCUCUUUCGCUCAUGGUAAAGCCGCAACAAUGGUUGUGGUGAGGGUAGUGGGUAAAGAAGCGCCGGCUAACUACGUG
rnacentral:rRNA from 1 species